GAGAUUUUUUCGUCCCAUUUUU
rnacentral:snRNA from 1 species